rnacentral:rRNA from 1 species
GUUUGAUCCUGGCUCAGGACGAACGCUGGCGGCGUGCUUAACACAUGCAAGUCGAACGAUGAACCGCUUUCGGGCGGGGAUUAGUGGCGAACGGGUGAGUAACACGUGGGCAAUCUGCCCUGCACUCUGGGACAAGCCCUGGAAACGGGGUCUAAUACCGGAUAUGACCGUCUGCCGCAUGGUGGAUGGUGUAAAGCUCCGGCGGUGCAGGAUGAGCCCGCGGCCUAUCAGCUUGUUGGUGAGGUAGUGGCUCACCAAGGCGACGACGGGUAGCCGGCCUGAGAGGGCGACCGGCCACACUGGGACUGAGACACGGCCCAGACUCUUACGGGAGGCAGCAGUGGGGAAUAUUGCACAAUGGGCGAAAUUC